rnacentral:rRNA from 1 species
AGAGUUUGAUCCUGGCUCAGAACGAACGCUGGCGGCAUGCCUAACACAUGCAAGUCGAACGGGAUCCGGACUUCGGUUCGGUGAGAGUGGCGGACGGGUGAGUAACGCGUGGGAACCUGCCCAGUGGUGGGGGAUAACUGCGGGAAACUGCAGCUAAUACCGCAUGAGCCCGAGAGGGGAAAGAUUUAUCGCCAUUGGAGGGGCCCGCGUUCGAUUAGGUAGUUGGUGAGGUAACGGCUCACCAAGCCGACGAUCGAUAGCUGGUCUGAGAGGAUGAUCAGCCACACUGGGACUGAGAUACGGCCCAGACUCCUACGGGAGGCAGCAGUGGGGAAUAUUGGACAAUGGGGGCAACCCUGAUCCAGCAAUGCCGCGUGAGUGAUGAAGGCCUUCGGGUUGUAAAGCUCUUUUGCCAGGGACGAUGAUGACGGUACCUGGAGAAUAAGCCCCGGCUAACUUCGUGCCAGCAGCCGCGGUAAUACGAAGGGGGCAAGCGUUGUUCGGAAUUACUGGGCGUAAAGGGCGCGUAGGCGGCUUAUCAAGUCAGGCGUGAAAUUCCCGGGCUCAACCUGGGGGCUGCGCUUGAUACUGAUGAGCUUGAAUGCGGGAGAGGAUAGUGGAAUUCCCAGUGUAGAGGUGAAAUUCGUAGAUAUUGGGAAGAACACCGGUGGCGAAGGCGGCUAUCUGGCCCGUAAUUGACGCUGAGGCGCGAAAGCGUGGGGAGCAAACAGGAUUAGAUACCCUGGUAGUCCACGCCGUAAACGAUGGAUGCUAGCCGUUGGCGGGUUUACUCGUCAGUGGCGCAGCUAACGCAUUAAGCAUCCCGCCUGGGGGAGUACGGUCGCAAGAUUAAAACUCAAUGAAUUGACGGG